UUUAAAAAGAUUACUCUGGCUGCAGUGAAAAGAUUAGACUAUCAAUGUUCACUAGUUAUUUGUUGAAUAAGUAAAUACCAAAUGAAUACUUUUUUUGCACAAAUGAAUGAAUAAAUCUGUGAAUUCAAUAACACAAAAUAUGUCAAGGGCUGCAGCCCUAUGCUGGGCUUACAUGACACCUCACACCUCUUUUAUCUUACCUUGCUAUAUAACCUCCCAUCUGUCCCUUCCUGAGCCUCAGUUCCUCAUGGUAGGACAAUAAGGCCUUGAAGAUUACCGCUAGCUCUGGAAAUAAUUCAAUAACUCCUGCCAACCCCACCCCACUGCCAAGGCUCUCAGGCUGCAAACAGCUGAAGAGGAACGAUGAAUGCCUCUGCUCUGUUUAUCAUCCUUGCUUUGGCAUUUCGUCUGCAGCUGGAGCCCUCUCUAUAAGACCACUCAGUAGCUAGAAGCUGACUAAUUUCCAUGUUGAUUGCAAAGCUGGAAAUGUAUACACUUGUAAUUCUUAUUCUUGGCCCAAAUGCUUCUUGUCGGCAGUAUCUCUGACGAUGAGGCGCUGACACCACUCACUAGUUAUUGUCUGACGUGCUUGCUAUUGAUAUGAGUGGGUUUAGGAGGAUGCACAAUUUGAUAAUCAGACCCCAUCUGCAAAGCAAUCACGAGUCACAUUAUGGAGAAAAUGACUCAAGAACUAGAAUGAAAACUUGUUGCUUUUGCUGCUGGCCUCUCAUGCCUUCCUAUGCCACAAGAACUCUGAUUUUGAAGAACAUCCUUUACAUACCGUCUGCUGAGAUAACAGUAAAAAUGCCUUAUCUAGACCUGAGGAUACAGCCAUUUUGAAGGACAUGUGACCCAAACUUCAUAUCUGAGUCAAGCUUGAGACUUUGACAUGAACACCUGACAGAGAGGGCUUCUUACUUUCACUAAAUUCAAGACUGAUCAUAUGGCACGUAAAUCUGAUUCUUCCAGAACCCAUCUUGCCAGUAAGAGGGACCAGGGUUUUCCUGGAAAAAUGGAAUUGACAGAUGAAAAUAAAUGGAACUACUACAGAAGAUAGCAGAGUCAAGAAGUAGAGAGACUCUAGAUGCUAAGGAUGUCACUUGAACCCCUGGAUUCCACUGUGACUUUUCAUUGACUUUUCAGCUAUAUGAAAUAAUUUUCCUUAUUUGUUUAAAUACACUGAAGAGUAUGUAUACAUACACACACACACACACACAUAUAUAUAAUAUGCAUUAUUGUAUGUAAUAUACAAUAUAGAUGCAUUAUUAUAUAUUUAUUUAUUUACUUGCAGCUGAAAGAUGCCCAAAUCAAGUUGCUCUCAAUGCUGCCAUAUGCCCAAUUUAUUUCCAGUGAUGGGGAACUUAUUAUCACAUGUAAGUUUCAUCUUGACUUUUUAAAAAGCUAUAAUUAUUUAAAAUUUCCCUCUCUACUUUAUGCCCAUUGUUCCUGUUGCCUUAUUUGGAGUCAGACAGAGUAUGUCUGGUCCUUCACACAGGCCUAUAGAUAUUUCUUUUUUUUUUUUUUUUUUUGAGACGGAGUUUCACUCUUGUUGCCCAGGCUGGAGUGCAAUGGCGCGAUCUCGGCUCACCGCAACCUCUGCCUCCUGGGUUCAGGCAAUUCUCCUGCCUCAGCUUCCCGAGUAGCUGGAAUUACAGGCACGUGCCACCAUGCCCAGCUAAUUUUUUGUAUUUUUAGUAGAGACGGGGUUUCACCAUGUUGACCAGGAUGGUCUCGAUCUCUUGACCUCGUGAUCCACCCACCUCGGCUUCCCAAAGUGCUGGGAUGACAGGCUUGAGCCACCGCGCCCAGCCAGAUAUUUCAAUAUUACACUAUUACCUCUUCCUUAACUUGCCUAUCCCCUGCCCAAAGUUUCUUAUAUACUGAGACAUUCAAUCUAAACCUUAAGAUUGUCUCAUCUACAAAGUAUUUUAAUAAGUGUGUAUUAAAAUGACUAUUUUUGUUAUCCUGCAUAAUUGUUAGAAUUAAAAUCCAAUUAUCUUUAGAUGACUGCUCACAUGUUGAAUUUUUUUCUUUUUCCUUCUUUUACAGGAAAACUCCAAAACAGAUCAUAAAAUGAGGAAUGAUUAAUACAUUCCAUUUAUGCAGAAUAGUGCAAGCCCACAUACCCCAGAGAAACACGGAAACAGCUCUUAAACCUACUCACUUCAUUUUUCUUGAAAUGAGAACAGCUGUUAAGUGUCUCAUAAACAUCUCGGGCAAAACAUGAAAAAAUUACAAAGGAACCCUUUCAAAGCAGGAAGUAUAUGUUCCCAAAUCUUUGAAAAUUAAUCUGAGAGUAUGGUAAAGCCAAGUAAGCUCAUUAACAUAUGAGUUCCACAGAAGACAAGAGACUUUUCCAAAGUCAAAAAGAGGUUGUCAUAGAUCCCAGAUCUUUAGACCUUUGCCUUCUUUCUUCUUUGAGGCCAAUUUCACACACAGCAUAUAAUGAAUUACCAAAUAAAUGGUUCAGAUAUCAAGUGCAUUGGAUUUAGAGGAGGGAGAUAACCAUAAAUACGUGUUCUAAAUAAACUAAGAGGAAAUGAUAGGCAAUUUUAGAGCUUGGUCAAUGGCUGAGAUUUAGUCAGGAGCUUUAUCUCCAUUCUGUCUAAAUUCCUAAACAGUAAGAUGAGAUUCCAUGAACCAAGGGAAAUGCUAUUAGAGUCUCUAGUUACUUAAGUAUUCAUUCAAACAAAUAUUUACCAUUUUUAAGUACCAUAGACAAGACACUGUGUUAAAUACAUUGUGUGUAUUGCCAAGGCAGAAGGUGUGGAGGUGGGGUGGGAAAGAGAUAAUACCUUCUCUUGAGAAGUUUACAAAUUCUGAGGAAGUUCCCAAGAUACAUAUUUUUCAAUGUUCAGUAACAAUAAAUGCAGUGUUAUGUUGUAACUCAUCCUCUUAAGUCAUGGGGAAUUCUCUUUAUUCCUAAAAAAUAGAUGACACUGAACUUAAAUGUUUGGUAAGUACAUGUCUAUGUAAAAAGCUGAGAACCUUAGAUUGUGACCUUAAAUGUCUUAUCUUAUUCUCUCUUUAUUUUGUCAACUACUCAUCCUUUGAAAUUUAUUCCAAUUAUCUGCUUAUCUACAGAGCUUUCCUUAAAGUUUCCUCCACUGACAUGAAUGUUUUAAUGAGUCCUUUAGCAUAUUACUGGCAUUUUUCUUGAUGCUAAAGCAUAUGCUUUUUUUUUCUUUGCCUUUGGCUUUAUUUUUUAUUUUUGUUUUUUAUUAUACUUUAAGCUCUGGGAUACAUGUGCAGAAUGUGCAGGUUUGUUACAUAGGUAUACACGUGCCACGGUGGUUUGCUACAGCCAUCAACCCAUCAUCUACAUUAGGUAUUUCUCCUAAUGGUAUCCCUCCCCUAGAUCGCACCCGUCAAUAGGCCCUAGUGUGUGAUGUUCCCCUUCCUGUGUCCAUGUGUUCUCACUGUUCAACUCCCAGUUAGGAGUGAGAACCUGCCAUGUUUGUUUUUCUGUUCUUGUGUUAGUUUGCUGAGAAUGAUUGUUUCCAGCUUCAUCCAUGUCCCUGCAAAAGACAUGAACUCAUACUUUUUAUGGCUGCAUAGUAUUCCAUGGUGUAUAUGUGCCACAUUUUCUUAAUCCAGUCUAUCAUUGAUAGGCAUUUGAGUGGGUUCCAAGUCUUUGCUAUUGUGAACAAUGUUGCAAUAAACAUAUGUGUGUAUGUGUCUUUAUAGUAGAAUUAUUUAUAAUCCUUUGGAUAUCUACCCAGUAGUGGGAUUGCUGGGUCAAAUGGUUUUUCUGGUUCCAGAUCCUUGAGGAAUUUCCACACUGUCUUCCACAAUGGUGGAACCAAUUUAUACUCCCACCAUCAGUGUAGAAGCAUUCCUUUUCUCCAUAUCCUUUACAGCGUCUGUUGUUUCCUGACUUUUUAAUGAUCGCCCUUCUGACUGGCAUGAGAUGGUAUCUCAUUGUGGUUUUGAUUUGCAUUUCUCUAAUGACCAGUGAUGAUGAGCUUCUUUUCAUAUGUUUGUUGACCACAUAAAUGUCUUCUUUUGAGAAGUGUCUGUUCAUAUCCUUCACCCACUUUUUGAUGUUUCUUUUCGUUAUAAAUUUUUAAAGUUCCUUGCAGAUUCUGGAUAUUAACCCUUUGUCAGAUGGGUAGAUUACAAAAUUUUCUCUCAUUCUGAAGGUUGCCUGUUCACUCUGAUGAUAGUUUCUUUUGCUGUGCAGAAACUCUUUAGUUUAAUUAGACCCCAUUUCUCUAUUUUUGCUUUUGUCACCAUUGCUUUUGGUGUUUUAGUCAUGAAGUCUUUGCUCAUCCCUGAAUGGUAUUGCCUAGGUUUUGUUUUAGACAAAUGUCCUGAAUGGUAUUGCCUAUGGUUUUAGGUCUAACAUUUAAGUCUUUAAUCCAUCUUGAAUUAAUUUCUGUAUGAGGUGUAAGAAAGGGUCCAGUGCUUUUUAAUACAGUUACUCAACUGCUUUCUAUGUUAGGGCUUAUUUCCUCAGCUAGAUUGAGCACCUGGGCAAUAAACACCUUACAUUUCCUUAGUUCCUAGAACAACAUAAGUAUUCCAUACAUUUCAAGGGAAGAAAUUAAUAAAUGCCAUACUUUGAUUUUUCAUUGCCAAUUAAGUCUAUUCCACAGAACUUGUCCUCCUGGCCAUCUAAAUCCAGUCAUGAUUGCGUUAUUAGAAAAUAUAUCUUAAGGGCAGAUAUUAAUUUUUAUUUAAAUUUUACCAUAUUUCCCUAGUUGGGGCAACCUCCAUUGUUAACCUACUUCAUCCAGUACUAGCUGUGAAACGUCUGUGAAGAAAUAACAUUUGGUGGUAAGAUAUAAUUAGUCAUAAUGAUAUAAGAUUAUCUAUCAUUGAAGCACAAUAUCAUCCAAAGAAGCAUAAACUAAUAGAAGAACAGCCAUUGAAAACUACAGCCAAAUAAUCCCUUAUCUUACCUGAAAAUGCAAGAAAUUUAAUUAUCUGGUGUGAGUGGGGAGCAUGAGAGAUUUUCAUUGUUCUGAGUGAAUGUACGGAGUCCAUGCUUUGAAGAAUAUCUACUGAGUAAGCUUCGUCAACUAUAGAAGUGAUAGGCUAAGUUGCUGAAAGAAAGAACUAAGCUCUAAUGACCCUUAAUGGAACAUUAGUAGGCUACUAAUAAGUAGGAUUUAGAAGUAUACAUGCCAAUUAUGUGUACAUAUUAAUAUCAUUUAUGCUACUGCAUGACUUUCAACCAUAAAAAAAAAACAUCAAAGAACUUACGUGGCUGCUUAGUUCUUAUUAGAAAUACACUCUUAGAAGGUUAGAAGCCUAGCUAGAAUAUUUCCGCUUGGGCAGGG
rnacentral:lncRNA from 1 species